rnacentral:misc_RNA from 1 species
CUUCCGUAGGUGAACCUGCGGAAGGAUCAUUACCGAGUGAGGGCCCUCUGGGUCCAACCUCCCACCCGUGUCUAUCGUACCUUGUUGCUUCGGCGGGCCCGCCGUUUCGACGGCCGCCGGGGAGGCCUUGCGCCCCCGGGCCCGCGCCCGCCGAAGACCCCAACAUGAACGCUGUUCUGAAAGUAUGCAGUCUGAGUUGAUUAUCGUAAUCAGUUAAAACUUUCAACAACGGAUCUCUUGGUUCCGGCAUCGAUGAAGAACGCAGCGAAAUGCGAUAAGUAAUGUGAAUUGCAGAAUUCAGUGAAUCAUCGAGUCUUUGAACGCACAUUGCGCCCCCUGGUAUUCCGGGGGGCAUGCCUGUCCGAGCGUCAUUGCUGCCCUCAAGCACGGCUUGUGUGUUGGGCCCCCGUCCCCCUCUCCCGGGGGACGGGCCCGAAAGGCAGCGGCGGCACCGCGUCCGGUCCUCGAGCGUAUGGGGCUUUGUCACCUGCUCUGUAGGCCCGGCCGGCGCCAGCCGACACCCAACUUUAUUUUUCUAAGGUUGACCUCGGAUCAGGUAGGGAUACCCGCUGAACUUAAGCAUAUCAAUAAGCGGAG